GACGAACGCUGGCGGCGUGCCUAAUACAUGCAAGUUGAGCGCUGAAGGUUGGUACUUGUACCGACUGGAUGAGCAGCGAACGGGUGAGUAACGCGUGGGGAAUCUGCCUUUGAGCGGGGGACAACAUUUGGAAACGAAUGCUAAUACCGCAUAAAAACUUUAAACACAAGUUUUAAGUUUGAAAGAUGCAAUUGCAUCACUCAAAGAUGAUCCCGCGUUGUACUAGCUAGUUGGUGAGGUAAAGGCUCACCAAGGCGAUGAUACAUAGCCGACCUGAGAGGGUGAUCGGCCACAUUGGGACUGAGACACGGCCCAAACUCCUACGGGAGGCAGCAGUAGGGAAUCUUCGGCAAUGGACGAAAGUCUGACCGAGCAACGCCGCGUGAGUGAAGAAGGGUUUCGGAUCGUAAAACUCUGUUGGUAGAGAAGAACGUUGGUGAGAGUGGAAAGCUCAUCAAGUGACGGUAACUACCCAGAAAGGGACGGCUAACUACGUG
rnacentral:rRNA from 1 species